UGACUGACUGACUGACUGACUGACUGACUGACUGACUGCAGUGUCCCUCCCCACAGGACUGACUGACUGACAGUAGUGUCCCUCCCCACAGACUGACUGACAGUAGUGUCCCUCCCCAACUGAUGAUGUCAGGUAUGAAAACCGCUGAGGUGGCCACCAGGUUCUCCUGCACCCCUCAGUCCCUGCCAGUUACAGAGUAUAGCUGGUACAUCCUAACUUCUCCAGCCCAGGGGCUAGGCUGCCCUUUCCCCAGACGCCCUUCCCUAUAUAAUCCAGCCAUUUUGGUUACCCACCCUCACUUUUAGUCUCUUGGUCUGUCUCUCCCCCCUCCCCUCUCCUCCCUCCCCCCUCCCCUCUCCCCUCCCCCCUCUCCCCACAUGGCAGGCUCAGUCUGGUUAAGUUCACUCUGGACUCUCCCAAAUGUGCCUGCCUCUGACCAUACUCUCCCUUCUAUCUGCAGUAAACUUUCCCCUCCACCAUGCCUAGGAGCAAUCAGGUCCUUUCCUUGUUUUAAUUUCUUUUUUUCCCCGUUUCCCCCAUUUAUUUGGUGCUGAAAUCCAGGACCAGUCGGCCAGCUGUGUCCUUUUCUUUUUCAUUUCUCCUCUCAUUAAGACACAUAUACUACACAGCCCCUGCACCUGAGGCACAGGGAACAUUGCCGAGCACGGGGCAGAAAGCCUGUAAGAGCCAUAGGACCAGGAAGCCUGCGGCGAGAUUGUUUUCUGGAUAUGACAGAAAAGAUACGCCCGUGAAAUGUCACCAUCACGGCCGUUUAAUAAAGACCCAGUCAACGACGACGCCAGUUGACGUGCUAACAGUGAUGGAGGAAUUCUCCUGGGACCCUGGAUAAAAAGCUGCAAGCAAUUAAAGUCUGCUGAGAGAAAAGAUAAAAUUAAUCUUCCCCAGGGACGAUGCUCCUAAAUGGUUAUGCAAUCCCAAGGACUUUGUUACUGUUUCUCGCAAUCACCAUGGAAAACUCCAGGAGCCUGUCCAACCUCUGAGGUGAAAAAGAAAACCGGUUUGGAAAGGAUGACACUGUUCACCACAAUCAAAGGCCUCUUCGGGAACCUCCAGCCACCGCUGUAGUCCCUGCGGGCCCUUCUUUAUAUUCUGAGGGAGAUUUCAACCUCUCUGCAUGGACUACUAUUGAAGCAUCUGUAAAGGGAGUUCAGAGUCCUGGGGAAGCUAUAAGGCACUGGUCUGGGUACAACGCCAGCAGUCUGUUGGGACAGUGUGAGCCUCUUCCAGGAACAGUAACUCACUUGUCUAAAAUGUAGAAGGGGGACCUGGCUGUCCCCUGUGACUUCUGACGCCCCGGAGACUUGGCUGUUAGUCGGGUUUUCCGUAGUCAGCCCUUCGCUUGCUUCUCUUCCGUGCUUCCCUUCAAGCCUGCCCGAACACGGGCCGCUUCCUCAGGCGGGGUCUCCUUUCAACAAAGGCUCAGAAGGGCUGAGUUGCCUUGCAGACUGUUCUUUGCUCUGAUUGGACUGGCUUGUGUCACAUGACUAUUCAGGCCAAUCAGUUGGAACCGGCACUGGUUGGCUCACGUGCCCCAGGACUUGUUCCUGAAUCACAGCUAGUUCACGUGGAAACCACAGCUACGCAUAAGACCUGUCCCGGGGAUUAGAAGUAUUGAAGGGAGGCGUAAAAAGAUGUUAGAAGGUAGGAACACGUGGGAGAUUGCAUGGAUGUCUCUUCCUCCGCUACCCAUCGGGCGAUGAUCUGUGUCUUCACACUAAGUUUCCACCUGUACGUCUGACGUGUAGCCACGAUAAAUGCAUGACCUGUAAAGACGGGAUGAGGGUAAAAUGAACGGACACAUGCUGGUCA